rnacentral:misc_RNA from 1 species
GAUGAAGAACGUAGCGAAAUGCGAUAAGUAAUGUGAAUUGCAGAAUUCAGUGAAUCAUCGAAUCUUUGAACGCAUCUUGCGCUCCUUGGUAUUCCGAGGAGCAUGCCUGUUUGAGUGUCAUCAAGUUCUCAAACUGCAUCCAUUUGAAGGGUGUGGAUUUGGAUUAUGGAGUUUGCAGGCUCUUUGAUUGAGGUCUGCUCCUCUGACAUGUAUUAGUGGCGAUGUGGAAAAGCUACUGUGGGUGUGAUAAAUAUCUAUGCCUUAUGCAGUGUUCUGCUAUGCCGCUUGCAGGGAGAAAUUUCAUUUUUGACAAACUUGACCUCAAAUCAGGUAGGACUACCCGCUGAACUUAAGCAUAUCAAUAAGCGGAGGA